rnacentral:rRNA from 2 species
UCCGGUGACCAUACUGGAGAGGAUACACCCGUUCCCAUCCCGAACACGGAAGUUAAGCUCUUCAAGGCCGAUGGUACUUGGGCUUUAAGCCCUGGGAGAGUAGGUCGUUGCCGGAA